UUUAGGUAAACAAUAGAAUAUAUGAAAUAUAAGACAAUAGAAACCUGAUGCAUCACUCAGAAAAGCCAGUUUGAAGGGACGGUGCUUGGAGAAAGAUCUUGUGUAACCGUAGUGUAUCACAUUGAAAAGCGUGUCCAAAGGGUCUGUGAUAUCGGAGAACCUGCACGUACCUUUUUUGUGAUGAAAGCCUUUCCUUUGGUAAUGCGGUGAUGCAGUUUUCUCUGUGACAGAUUGCAGUUUUGCCGAACAGAUGAAAGGAAAUCACACCGCGUAUACACCUCUUUUUUAAAUGCCACGAUGGACGGGAUAUGGCUGAAAGGUCUCUAUUGGCCAAUCACUUAUUGGAGGUAUCUUGAUGAUGGUGACCUGGCAGUUUUAGGAGAGGAGCUAACAGGUGUAUUUCAUGUCAAAACACGCCUUCUGUUUUUUUCAUCCAGUGGAAUAAUGAGUUAACUGCACCAACCCCCUCAACUUGUUUCCAUACCUAUUCUCCUGAAGCCAUAACUAGCCCCGGAGCAGAAUUAUGUAAGGUUGACUUAUUAUCUCUGUACCGGGUGUACUCAACCUCCAACCUCCCAUACCAGUUUGUCCUUUAUGUAUCACCUGAUCCUCAUCUACGCAAGCUCCUUUGUCUGAAAUUGCACGCUAUCCUGGUCUCUGGGGAGGGUCAGUAGCAUUAUCUAACUUGUUUUUCAGGAGCCACAUGGGAGAAACAUCAAUGCGCGCUCUGUGUCACGAGCGCUUACCCAUAUUGUAAACUCAUUAUUCCUCUGUUAUAUUUAGCUAUGGCUUACACACCCUACUCGUUUUCAUGUUAGAACAGUCGAGAAAGAGAUAGACAGUUGUCAUACCGGGCACAGGACUUGGAACAAAGCAAAGUCAAUGGGGUGAUUUGACAGUAUUUGCUACGUGCUGUCCAUAUCUGUCACUGCCAUCUAUUACCCCUAUACUUUCUUUGUCCCCUGUCACAGAUCUGUCACAAUGCUGAGAGCAAAACCGUAGGUCACUCCUUUAUAUUUGUAUGAAUCCAUCGGAUGAUGGCAAAGCUGCCAAAACACCUGGUCGAUAGCCACGCACUCGGAUGACCGACCGUGGCUCGGGUCGCAGAAAGCAGAUCUGAUCAGGAGAGUCGUUGUAGGAGAAGAGAUGACCGACCGUGUCUCGGGUCGCAGAAAGCAGAUCUGAUCAGGAGAGUCGUUGUAGGAGAAGAGAUGACCGACCGUGGCUCGGGUCGCAGAAAGCAGAUCUGAUCAGGAGAGUCGUUGUAGGAGAAGAGAUGACCGACCGUGGCUCGGGUCGCAGAAAGCAGAUCUGAUCAGGAGAGUCGUUGUAGGAGAAGAGAUGACCGACCGUGGCUCGGGUCGCAGAAAGCAGAUCUGAUCAGGAGAGUCGUUGUAGGAGAAGAGAUGACCGACCGUGGCUCGGGUCGCAGAAAGCAGAUCUGAUCAGGAGAGUCGUUGUAGGAGAAGAGAUGACCCACCGUGGCUCGGGUCGCAGAAAGCAGAUCUGAUCAGGAGAGUCGUUGUAGGAGAAGAGAUGGAGGAAGAAGAAGAGGAGAUGGAAGUAGAACAGACGAGGCAGGAAUGCGGCGUCGGUAGCGGUAAUGGAAGCGCAGGGAAGGGCGAUGGCGGGUGGGCAGGGCAGCGACGCUGUAAACGUUGCAGACCUACCGCCCCAAAAACGCUUCGACGAGAGCGGGGACGAGAGUGACCCUAAACCAGGACCAUCGGGUGUAUAGAAGAGUCUGAUCUGGGAUCCACGUGUGGUGCGAACUGGGAGACGCUGCCCGAUAGGAUAAUGAUCCUCUUAUCGCGCUCGGUCGCAUCCGUUUCCUCUGGUGAUCGAAAUAACUUUCGCAUAGCCUGGGCUGACGAGAUGCCAUAUUCAUCAACGACUACAACCGCGCCCCGGAUGCACGAAGGAGCAAAACUGCACCUCGACGUCACGGCAAAUUUUAUGCGGGUGGCACGCUUUCUACAUCUCAAAGAGAGACGUAUACAAUGAUGGUGCAUUGAUGCCAGUCAGCACGAUAUCCCGAUAUUUACUUUUAUAUUUCUGUAUCUAGAUCCUGCUCGGUAUUUAAUAACUCACUGUCAUUUAUUCCGAAUAUGUUGUGACGUCAUGGAACGGUAUCUGAUUAUUCAGCGCGCCGGCGGCAGCCCUGGUAGUUGUAGUUAGAGUUGUACAAUCAUGCAAUCCAACAUCGUGCAUUAGCGAAACAAGAAGACGGAUGGAGUAGGACUUCCCGGUCCCAGCGUCACCGGUUAGUAAUAACAUCAUAGACGUGUCCCUGGUGAGAAAGAAUAAAUCUAAUACUCCAUAAGCCCACUCCGUCUGCAUCUGAUGAGCAAACGUCUGUAAGCGGCGCCCCGCUGGGUCACACACGGUGUGUUCAUGCUCAUAGCUCGCUGACUUAACUGAUCGUUAAGUGGUCGUCCAGACACUAGCCAGAUGAGAACGGUUGCCACACCAUAGAGAUCUAAUAGUGGGCGGACUACAGAGACGCCUUCCCUUGGAUUCGUCAAAUUGCAGGUUGAUUAUGAUAUCAGAAUUGCACAAAUGGCAUAGAUAUACAAACUAUCAUAACUAGGUAUAACCUGUAUACACCGAUGUAUAUUAUAUAUACCACCUAUUUGUCACCAGGUGUAAAUAAUAGUUUGGUAUAACAACACCUAUAAUUUACGCGCUGUAUUUGACAAACUAUUGUCAGGUCUACCACGUCGGAGCUCGGCAGUAUUGGGACAGGUCGAUUCGUCAAAUUGCAGGUCGUGAAGUAAAGCAAGUGUUUGAUCAGCAGAUUAAUGUAGAAGUCUGAGAAUAGCGAUGAACUGUUGUCUAGAAGGAACAGGUGGAAGCAGAUAGAUGGUCGGGACAAUUGAUAUAUUUCCCCACAUCGGUGAGUGUCACGUAGGCGUAUGGAACCACCUGCAUCAGUACGAACCACGAAAUGAAUUCGCAAAAGAUAUUAGGGUACCAAACUGUAAUGAUAUCUUUCGUUGCAUGUAUUAGAUCUCCACUGAGCCCGAUUGCCGCAGAGGGGUCGGGGUCCGUCUGAAAGAGCUGAAAUAUGUAAUGAAUUAGCAAUUGUUCGCCAUCGAACGAGUUAGUCGUGUGUUCCAACGUUUGACGAAACAUUUCAUCAGAUGUAGCUAUCGAACACAUGUUGGAAUAGAAUUCAUUACGGGUCAAGAGGAUAAAUGUAUAUUCAGGUGUAUUUUUGUAUCGAUGCCGUAGAUGUUCGGGUAGCCGUUCCCGGCGCGCCCGUACAACAUCGUUUUCAUUCAGUCGUCUAUUCUGCAUCAGUGAAUCUAUUAAAACCAUUAAAGGCACAUCGUGAAGGGAGUCAUUGAUUAAGCGCCCAUUUAGAUCGGUUGGAACCCCUGCCAUAUCAAUGUGCUUUCCCGUAUACGUGUGGAGCCUGAUCUUCAGAAUACGUCAAUUCUUUUACAGUCAUAUGACGCUACGUAAAUAUCAAAGAUUGAUAAACGACCCUGAAUUCGUUGGGCUUUUGAAAUGUAAAAGGAGCUAGCAGCUGCAAGCUCUUCUUCCUUUCAUUUGUAAUACCAGCAACACUUCGCUUUCUGGCAAUGAUACUUUGUGCAAUGGCGGUCGCGUGCACAUUCGCAAUGAUCUGCUUCAUAAGAGCUGUAUAAACAAUAAGCCCACCCGCAGGAGCAGCUGUUAUUAGCGUUCCUAAUGGUUCCAAGUUCAGCGUCAUGAUAACUAUUAAAUUCGUUUAAUAGUUUAAUCACAGUAUCAAGUCAUUUUAAUAUUAAUCUGCGGAAUACAAGCAUGAUUGCAACCGAAGUGCCGCAGAAACUGAUCGCCUCGGUCAUUUGAAAUUUGUGAUAAUACUGGGAAUAGCGAUAGGGAUAGGACACGGAGUGUCCUUACGAAGAAAUAGAGAACACACCCUCUUUACCAACACGUCGUUUUUUUUAUUUUUUG